GGGCACUUGGCACAGUGGUAGCGCGCACGCUUUGCAUGAUUUAGUUCAAGUGACUGCGUGAGGUCGGGAGUUCAAUCCUCCCAGUGUCCA